GUCAUUGAAUAGAUAUGCAGGGAAAAUGUUUAAAUAAUAGUUCCAUGACUUUGAAGUCUUGAUGUUUAGAGAUUAUAGAAUGGGAAUGGGAAUUAUUAUCGUGCAUUCUUCCAGCACCGCCCCUUCGCCCAAUUGCCUAUGUGCAGUCCCCCUAUUCUCUAAUGCAUAUUUCAUUGAUGUUUUUUUAGGAUCAUCUGAAGGCUUUCAGAUUCUCCCCAUUCACCACCCUCCCGAAAACCUAUAAACCUCCUCUCUUUUUUGUCCGCCACCGUGUAAGGUGGAGAAGGUGGCGGUGCGGUCUCUGAACAAGCUCCCGUUUGGGCUUCCGAUUCUGCCCCUCCGCUCGAAGUUCCUCACAAAACACAGUUUUUUUUUUUUUGUAAUUUUGUGCAUGUAGAUUAUAAUCGUUAAUUAGACAUCAACCACUACAGUUGUGAUUCGGGUAAAGCUGCAAAGUCUAAUGCUGAAGUCGGAUCAGAUGCAGAUGUGGAGCAAAUAUAACCUAAAUCAUGUGUUUAUCUGUGAGCACAUGUAUGAUCCUGCUACUGGGUCACUCAAGAAGCUGAUAUCAAAGUAACAUACUCAAAGUGGAUGCUACUUCUUCCUUAAGAAAAGAGAAGUGUUUGAAGACGGAAGACUAUGAUUCGCAUUGAUGCAGCGUCUGAUAGCAAAGAUGAAGAGAGAAAAGUAAAGAAGGAGCCUUUUGAGACAAAUCAGAGCUACAACCGUGGGAGAUAAUCAUUAGAUUUGGCACCCCCAUCAUUAGAAAUGUCACCCCACUUACGGAAACUCAGUUUCCGAAAUAUUUCGGAAAUAAGGUUUCCGAAGCAGUUUUUUACUCAAAAGUGUGGUUUUUUACUCAAAAGUGUGGUGUUAGAUGUAUUUUGAACUAAAAAUCACGAAUUAAUUUCGGAAUCUAAGAUUCCGAAAUAAUUCGAAACAUGAAAAUCCGAAAAUUGGGGGUGUGAAAUCUAAUGGUUGGGGUGGCAAAUCUAGCUCUCGUGGGAGAUGGAGAGGAUCUAUGUCGGUGGAAAUGUUAUCUCUCAACAAUUUCUUUUCUGGGUAUUAUAUUUGUUUCAAGUUUCAAAUUUUACACAUGCAGUUUCAAUUUCUCUUUUUGAGACGAUGGGGUUGGUGAACACAAUUUGCAGUAUCUAGCUAAUUUUGCUUUUAUUAUAUUGCUUUUUUUAGCUGCAUUGGGGUCUAUCUGAUUGUCAGAUGGAUUUGUUAAUUUCAUUUCUCCUUUCCUUCCUUGCAAAUUUUAUUUUUCUCAUUUAUUUACAGUCCAAUGUGCAGAUGGUCUUAAUGUGUGACAGGUUGCAGGAAGGGAAGUUGGUUGUGCAGAGACGGAGGUUUGGGACCUGAUCAGAUGGGAUGCAAUCAAUGGCAAGUGUUUUCAUGAAAUAGAGCCAAAACAAUGUGAUUCUGAAGUUGAACUACAUGAACACUUUGGUUCAUAUUAUGAUGACGUUUUUUAGGAGGGUGGAAAAAGAGUCAUUCACAUUCAGUACGAAACUUUCUAGGCAUUACAAGUUCUUAACCUCACAUUUCUUUUAUGGAAUAAUGAAUUUAUAGAAUAUUUGUUUGUUUUGUUCAACAAGAGCUGCCAUAUUGACAUAUGAGGAUUUUCAAUGAAUUUGAAAAGGUUUGCUCUAUCUUCAUCAAAUCAAGGAUUGUGGGGCAUGAUAAGCUAUUAAAGUGGCGAUUAGUGGAGUUGUAAAUGUAAAUGUGAAAGCUUCAAUCCAAGGUGACUCAUUUGGAGAGGUGGCAGAGAUCUCACUUUUUAUUGUACCCGCAAAACAUGCAUAUGGAUGUUUUGUUCUCAUUCAUUCUUCUAAUGCAUUAGUUACUGUACAUACGGUUAAAAACCUUUCAGUGGAGAUAUUGAAAAAAAAUUGUGUUUACUCUCCAACGAGAAAUGUUUGGAGUUUUUGAAUUUUUCUUAUAGAGCUACUUAUUGGAAGAAAGAAUCUUGAUAGCAAGGAAGAGAGGAAAUUAGUCAAGUGAUGUAUGAAUCCACAACUUAAAGUUUGCUAGCCAUCCAAAAGAUGAAAGAAUAGUAGAUCUAGAAGGACAAUAGUCUUAUUAAGUCAAUUGAAUAAGGAAACCAAAUUCACAGGAACGUUAGGUGUCGUUGUCAUGGAUUGAGAAGAAGAAGAAUUCUAAUGGGGAAUAAAUGUGAUUGAAAAAUCUUUGAGAAGGGGAGGGGGACUAAUAAGGUGACACUGAAUUUCUCUGAUGGUGGUUAGGUUGAAUUGUGCAGGACAAAGAAGAAACAGAGAAGGGUAAUCAAUAAAUGCUUAUAACAUUGUCACUAAGAAGAUGGAAGUUUUAGUGUUAGUUUUUUUUUUCUUAUUAUGAGAGGUACAUCUGUUAGGCUAGCAUCUUCAUUGCUGUGGCCUCAAAUUGUCCUCUCCCCCAAAUAUAUUCAUUGGUCUAAGUGUUGCUUUGCAUGGUGAAGCAAUCACACAUCGGAGGGUGGGCAAAAACUACAGGGUAAAAAGCUCUCACGAUGAGGAUUAUUCUACAUGAAAAAAAUUUCAUGUUAAAAUAGGGAGGAACAUUAUACAUGAAAAUAUUUUCAUGUACACAUUAAUAGAAAUACAAAUGUUAAUAAA